AUACAUGGCCGACGCGGGUCAAAGUGUACUAUCUGUUCUUAUCAGCUUAGUAUCUCAUACGGGCUGUAUUUCGACCCCAGAUAUUAUAUUUAUUUUUGCAAGUUGGCAGAGUGCUUGAAGCCUGCUUCACCUCCGCCGCGAGUCGGCCCAGUAUCGCAAUACCUUCGGGAUCGGCCCACGGUUU